GAUGAACGCUGGCGGCGUGCCUAAUACAUGCAAGUCGAGCGAACAGACGAGGAGCUUGCUCCUCUGACGUUAGCGGCGGACGGGUGAGUAACACGUGGAUAACCUACCUAUAAGACUGGGAUAACUUCGGGAAACCGGAGCUAAUACCGGAUAAUAUAUUGAACCGCAUGGUUCAAUAGUGAAAGACGGUUUUGCUGUCACUUAUAGAUGGAUCCGCGCCGCAUUAGCUAGUUGGUAAGGUAACGGCUUACCAAGGCAACGAUGCGUAGCCGACCUGAGAGGGUGAUCGGCCACACUGGAACUGAGACACGGUCCAGACUCCUACGGGAGGCAGCAGUAGGGAAUCUUCCGCAAUGGGCGAAAGCCUGACGGAACAACGCCGCGUGAGUGAUGAAGGUCUUCGGAUCGUAAAACUCUGUUAUUAGGGAAGAACAAAUGUGUAAGUAACUAUGCACGUCUUGACGGUACCUAAUCAGAAAGCCACGGCUAACUACGUG
rnacentral:rRNA from 1 species